UACAGAGGUGGCAAGCGUUAUUCGGAAUUACUGGGCGUAAAGCGCACGUAGGCGGCUUUGUAAGUUAGAGGUGAAAGCCUGGAGCUCAACUCCAGAAUUGCCUUUAAGACUGCAUCGCUUGAAUCCGGGAGAGGGAUGUGGAAUUCCAGGUGUAGCGGUGAAAUGCGUAGAUAUCUGGAGGAACACCGGUGGCGAAGGCGGCAUCCUGGACCGGCAUUGACGCUGAGGCGCGAAAGCUAGGGGAGCAAACGGG
rnacentral:rRNA from 1 species